rnacentral:lncRNA from 1 species
AUGGCAAAUUUUUCUGAAGUUAUUUUGCUUCUUAGCUGAAUGGAUUUGGCUAACUCUAAGCAAAAACCAUAUCAACCCUCACUUGAACCACUGCCUUGUGGUUCUCUCCUAAUCAUGUUGAGCAAGUCUUGAACAACUGAUGACAUUGGUGGCCGGAAUUCAGGCUCGGACUGCAAAAUGUAAUUAAGAUUAGGUGAAGGUGAUCCAUUUGGGGUGGAUGGAAAAAUCAAAAUCAAAAUUAGAAGGGUGCAGUCCAAC